GACGAACGCUGGCGGCGUGCUUAACACAUGCAAGUCGAACGGUAAGGCCCUUCGGGGUACACGAGUGGCGAACGGGUGAGUAACACGUGGGUGAUCUGCCCUGCACUUUGGGAUAAGCCUGGGAAACUGGGUCUAAUACCGAAUAUGACUACAGGCUGCAUGGUCUGUGGUGGAAAGCUUUUGCGGUGUGGGAUGGGCCCGCGGCCUAUCAGCUUGUUGGUGGGGUGAUGGCCUACCAAGGCGACGACGGGUAGCCGGCCUGAGAGGGUGACCGGCCACACUGGGACUGAGAUACGGCCCAGACUCCUACGGGAGGCAGCAGUGGGGAAUAUUGCUCAAUGGGCGCAAGCCUGAUGCAGCGACGCCGCGUGAGGGACGACGGCCUUCGGGUUGUAAACCUCUUUCAGCACAGACGAAGCGCAAGUGACGGUAUGUGCAGAAGAAGGACCGGCCAACUACGUG
rnacentral:rRNA from 1 species